rnacentral:rRNA from 1 species
AUUGAACGCUGGCGGCAUGCCUUACACAUGCAAGUCGAACGGCAGCACGGGUGCUUGCACCUGGUGGCGAGUGGCGAACGGGUGAGUAAUACAUCGGAACGUACCUUAUCGUGGGGGAUAACGCAGCGAAAGCUGUGCUAAUACCGCAUACGCCCUGAGGGGGAAAGCGGGGGAUCGCAAGACCUCGCGCGAUUAGAGCGGCCGAUGCCUGAUUAGCUUGUUGGUGGGGUAAAAGCCCACCAAGGCGACGAUCAGUAGCUGGUCUGAGAGGACGGUCAGCCAAACGGGUGCUGGGACACGGCCCAGACUCCUACGGGAGGCAGCAGUGGGGAAUUUUGGACAAUGGGGGCAACCCUGAUCCAGCAAUGCCGCGUGAGUGAAGAAGGCCUUCGGGUUGUAAAGCUCUUUUGUCAGGGAAGAAACACCGGCUUUAACACAGUCCGGGAAUGACGGUACCUGAAGAAUAAGCACCGGCUAACUACGUGCCAGCCGCCGCCGUAA